GGGUCAGUAGGUUGGUCAUGCCACUGGUAUGUACUGGUCUCACUGAUUCCUCCUUCCUGAUGAGCCGUAAUGCCAUUAAUUUGGUGUUGUGGGGAAUCAGGACUGUUACUUUGAAAAAAUUAGAGCGUUUAAAGCAGGCUCACGCUUGAAUACAUUAGCAUGGAAUAAUGAAAUAGGACGUUCGAUCCUAUUUUGUUGGUUUCUAGGAUCGACGUA
rnacentral:rRNA from 1 species